AUGGAAGAUCUAUUGAAAAUGCUUCACGUUGGUGCUGAUGGAAAAGUAGAUGUGGCUAAACUGGAAGAGUCUCUGCAGGCUAUUAAAGAUGAGAAGAUUGAUGCCAAUAACUUAAACACAUUUCUGAAAAAUAUGGGUAUAGACAUCACAGGAGAAGAACUCAAAGAGCUGAAACAAAAUCUACCAACUGAUGGUGAGUUUUGAUGCUUAGAGAAUCUCUGGCUCCUAGAUCUUGAUAUGAGAAACUUCUUAAGUUCCAUGCAAUACCAUUUAUAAAGCACCAACCAUAUUCCAUUCAUACCUAUGUGACUCAAGUUUCUCCUGAUUCCAAAUCCACUAUACCAUGUUGCAUAGAAAAAUUAUUAACAAUACCAUGGUGUUCAUGAUAAGUAACAGAUGUGUGAUUCAGCUGAUGUAAAUUCUAUGUUGGUUGUAGCCUAUGGAAAACUCUGUAGUCUAAGGCUGCAAUAGUCAGGGGAGGCUUCUGGGAGAAGAGGAAGAAAGCUAACCAGACCCUAUUGGGACAGUAGUAUUGUAUGACAAAAUGUUUGAGCUCUUGGGAUUGAUAUUAGGAAAGGAGAACAGAAUAACAACAAACACAGGAAUGGAAUGUACAAAGCUAAUGGUUGUUUAGGGAAACAGUGAAUAAACCAGUUUAGCUAGUGCA
rnacentral:lncRNA from 1 species